rnacentral:rRNA from 1 species
AGUGAACGCUGGCGGUAGGCCUAACACAUGCCAGUCGAACGGCAGCACAGUAAGAGCUUGCUCUUACGGGUGGCGAGUGGCGGACGGGUGAGGAAUACAGCGGAAUCUACUUUUUCGUGGGGGAUAACGUAGGGAAACUUACGCUAAUACCGCAUACGACCUACGGGUGAAAGCAGGGGAUCUUCGUACCUUGCGCGAUUGAAUGAGCCGAUGUCGGAUUAGCUAGUUGGCGGGGUAAAGGCCCACCAAGGCGACGAUCCGUAGCUGGUCUGAGAGGGUGAUCAGCAACACUGGAACUGAGACACGGUCCAGACUCCUACGGGAGGCAGCAGUGGGGAAUAUUCGGCAAUGGGCGAAAGCCUGAUCCAGCAAUACCGCGUGAGUGAAGAAGGCCUUCGGGUUGUAAAGCCCUUUUGGUAGGAAAGAAAAGCAGCAGGUUAAUACCGCGCUGUUCUGAAGGUAAACAAAGAAUAAACACAGGCUAACUUCGUG